rnacentral:lncRNA from 1 species
CGGCCGGGCAGAGACGCUCCUCACUUUCCAGACUGGGCAGCCAGGCAGAGGGACUCCUCACGUCCCAGAUGAUGGGCGGCCAGGCAGAGACGCACCUCACUUCCCAGACGGGGUAGCGGCCGGGCAGAGGCUGCACUCUUGGCACUUUGGGAGGCCAAGGCAGGCGGCUGGGAGGUGGAGGUUGUAGCUGAGAUCACGCCACUGCACUCCAGCCUGGGCACCAUUGAGCACUGAGUUAACGAGACUCCGUCUGCAAUCCCGGCACCUCGGGAGGCCGAGGCUGGCGGAUCACUCGCGGUUAGGAGCUGGAGACCAGCCCGGCCAACACAGCGAAACCCCGUCUCCACCAAAAAAAUACGAAAACCAGUCAGGCGUGGCGGCGCGCGCCUGCAAUCGCAGGCACUCGGCAGGCUGAGGCAGGAGAAUCAGGCAGGGAGGUUGCAGUGAGCCGAGAUGGCAGCAGCACAGUCCAGAGGGAGACCGUGGAAAGAGGAGAGGGAGAGGGGGAGGGGGAGGGGGAGGGAGCUAUUUUGUAUUUUUUUAGAAACAGAGUUUUGCUCUGUUGUCCAGACUAGAGUGCAGUGGCCUGAUUAUGGUUCACGGCAGCGUUGAACUCCUGGGCACAAGCCAACCUCCUGCCUCAGCCUCCCUAGCAGCUGGAACUACAGAUGUUUGCUACAUCUGGCUUACUUUUUUAUUUUUUGUAGAGACAGGGUCUCGCCAUGUUGCCCAGGCUGGUCUUGAACUCCUGGGCUCAAGCAAUCUUCCCACCUCGUCUCCCAAAGUGCUGGGAUUACAGGCUCAUGCCAUCGCACCCAGCCAUCAUUUUAUUUACUUAUCCAUUCGAAGUAAAUUGUAAACAUCAGUAUUUGUCACCCCUAAACAUUUCAGAAGUACAUCAUUAGCUAGAGUACAAUAUUUGUUUAUGAUUCUUUCCUUGUGGUAAGCUUUGCGGAAAGAUUCUUUGUUUAUAUUGGUGAAAUGCACAAAUCUAAAAUGUACAGUUGGCUGGGCACAGCGACUCACGCCGGUAAUCCCGACACUUUGGGCGGCUAGGGCAGGAGCAUUGCUUGAGCCCAGGGAGUCGAGAUCAGCCUGAGCAACAUAAGGAGACCCCCGUCUUUAUAAAUAUAUAUAUUUUUAAUUAGCUGGGCAUGGUGGUGCACACCUGUGGUCCCAGCUACCUGGGAGGCUGGAGUGGGAGGAUCACUUGAGUCCCAGAGGUUGAGCCUGCAAUGAGCUGUGAUCACACCACUGCACUCCAGCCUGGGCAAUAGAGUGAGAUCCUGUCUCAAUAAAAACAAAAAUAAAAAGAAUUUAAUAAAAUAAAAUAUACAGCCAAUGAGUUCUAACAAAUGCACAGAGCUGUGUGACCUAGGGUAUGGAACAUAUCCAUCACUCCAGAAAGUUGCUUUAGACAUGCAAACAUUUAAACUUAGUUUGAGUCAUGCUAAUAACCGGUUUUACAGCAUUUUAUCCAAUUAAUAAUAUAGAGGGUUUAAUUCGUCACUUCAUGGUUUGUCCUGAAGCUUGCUAACCCAUUACAUCAGAAAGCCAACCCAGCUAAUUUGAAAGUGGAUGAGUCAGUGACUGGUGAAUAAGUAAACACGAGAGUGAAUAAAGAAUAGAUGGAUGAAUGAAAAUGUAAAGAAAUCAGCUGGGGGCAGUGGCUCACGCCUGUAAUCCCAGCACUUUGGGAGGCCAAGGUGGGUGUAUCACGAGUCAAGAGAUUGAGACCAUCCUGGCCAACAUGGUGAAACCCUGUUUCUACUAAAAAUACAAAAAUUAGCUGGGCAUGGUGGCGCAUGCCUGUAGCCCCAGCUACUCAGGAGGCUGAAGCAGGAGAAUCACUUGAACCCAUGAGGCGGAGGUUGCAGUGAGCUGAGAUGGCACCACUGCACUCCAGCCUGGCGACAGAGCAAGACUCCGUCUCAAAAAAAGAAAGAAAAAAAAGAAAGAAA